UUUCUCUUGCUCCAGAUAGAUGUCUGAAAUAACGUCAGACAAAUCUCAGCUGGCCCCAGUGUGAGCCAGGAAGGAUGGCAGCAGGGGACUGACUUUGAACCAUGGCAGAGCAGAGACUGACCUUCCUAUCCAUCAGAAAGGGGGACACCAGAGGCAGAGUACCCUGACCUUGGAAAAAGGCUCUAAUCUAGUGUCUUUAUAGAGAUGAGGAAGCAGCUUUGACAAGUGGGAGUUAAGCCCUGGAUGGUUCCGGACUAUCUAGCCAUUGCUUAAUCUUCUUAAUAUGAUGCCACGCAUUACUGAAAAGCAUUCAGGAGCUACUGAGUUGUACAAAGAAACGUGGAUUGAAAUCAUCCUUCAUUUCCCCUUUUGUGCCAAUACUACAUGCAGUUUCAACACUGUAAAUUUCAUAGCACUAGCAACUUUCAAAAAGCUGCCAUAUAGCCUAUACAGAGUAAACAAUCAGAUCUUGGUAGAGAAGAUGACGCAGCUGGCCCAUAUAUGCAUACUCAAAAAAGGGCUUGGUCUAAGCAGUGAAGUUCAAGAAAAUCCAGAAAGUAAUGCCAGCCUGCAGUUACAAUACACGGACUCUCUCCAUAGGAUUGGAAUAUAAUUUGAAAUAUGCCAUUUUUU
rnacentral:lncRNA from 1 species